rnacentral:rRNA from 1 species
AUACGGAGGAUCCGAGCGUUAUCCGGAUUUAUUGGGUUUAAAGGGAGCGUAGGCGGACGCUUAAGUCAGUUGUGAAAGUUUGCGGCUCAACCGUAAAAUUGCAGUUGAUACUGGGUGUCUUGAGUACAGUAGAGGCAGGCGGAAUUCGUGGGGGUGCGGGGAAAUGCUUAGAUAUUACGAAGAAAUCAGAUUGCGAAGGCAGCCUGCUGGACUGUAACUGACGCUGAUGCUCGAAAGUGUGGGUAUCAAACAGGAUUAGAUACCCUGGUAGUCCACACAGUAAACGAUGAAUACUCGCUGUUUGCGAUAUACAGUAAGCGGCCAAGCGAAAGCGUUAAGUAUUCCACCUGGGGAGUACGCCGGCAACGGUGAAACUCAAAGGAAUUGACGGGG